rnacentral:rRNA from 1 species
GUUAAUACCUUGCUGUUUUGACGUUACCGACAGAAUAAGCACCGGCUAACUUCGUGCCAGCAGCCGCGGUAAUACGAAGGGUGCAAGCGUUAAUCGGAAUUACUGGGCGUAAAGCGCGCGUAGGUGGUUUGUUAAGUUGGAAGUGAAAGCCCCGGGCUCAACCUGGGAACUGCUUUCAAAACUGGCAAGCUAGAGUAUGGCAGAGGGUGGUGGAAUUUCCUGUGUAGCGGUGAAAUGCGUAGAUAUAGGAAGGAACACCAGUGGCGAAGGCGACCACCUGGGCUAAUACUGACACUCAGGGACGAAAGCUAGGGGAGCGAAUGGGAUUAGAUACCCCAGUAGUCCUAGCCGUAAACGAUGGAUACUAGGUGUUGUCUGUAUCGACCCGGACAGUGCCGUAGCUAACGCGUUAAGUAUCCCGCCUGGGGAGUACGCACGCAAGUGUGAAACCCAAAGGAAUUGACGGGGCCCGCACAAGCGGUG